UGCAGCGGCAGAGUUUUGUUUGAUUGUUUACCGUGUGUCGGUGUUCAAUGCGGGUUUCUUCGGCGAGCUGGAGCCUGUGGAUAUUCGUCUCUUGACUGCAAAGGGUGCAGUUGUUGGCGUUGUGCUUAAUAGCAUCAUUGGCGGUGCUUUUGCUGUCCUUCCCCUUUAGAGCAACCGGAGUGUUUCAGGCCGGAGGCUAGGAGGUUUCUGCCUUUUCGUAUCGGCUGCUUAGGUUGACUGUACGCCCCUCCCCGUUGCGAGGAAGUCCCUGUAAAUCCCCGGUUGCGGUAUGUUGCUAUCUCAACUUUUAAUGAUUCUAUUUUACUAUUACAUAUGUGCUUAUAUGUCUCCAUUAACCUCUGUUGCACAGGUGGCCUGCGCACUGCAAGUAACUGAGGCUUCCUUCUCCCACUGACUGCUGUUUUGUUUACAGUGAACUAUAAUACAACUACCUUUUGAUCUGCGUCCUUCCCGCGUGCCCAGAUCCUCAGCGUGGUAAAGGGUCUGCAUGCGUGAUUGUGUGGUGCCAUUGAUUGACUGGGUGUGUGUGUGUGUGCAUGCGUAAUUGUGAGGUGUGGGGUGCAUGUGUAUGUGGUUGUGUGUGCAUGUGGUUAUUUGGUUAGUUUUGUUUGGGUUUGUGUAGUUUCCUCAUUUUGUGUGUGUCCUAUAUAUUUUGUUUGUUUUGUCUCUGUAUUUUCUUUGUCCUUUUUGUGAAACCCCAUUGGUGGCAUGUUCCUCCCUAUGUCGUGGCGCCUAACACCGUUUCGUCUGCCUGGGUAUUUGUAGUGCUUUCUUUCUAACGUGCCUUGCUGUGCCUGUUUGAGGGUGUAUUGGUUUGCUGUGCUUAAUUUAUCUGUCUGUGUAAUCCCACUUUUGUUUUAUAUCCGCCUAAUCAGACGGAAAGGGACAUCUAUCGGCCAUAGAGUCCUGGGCCAUAUGCUGUAUAACCGGUGUGGGUUUUGCUGUGUCUUACCCCUUUUCUUUUGUUUCAGGAGUGGAGGCUCUCGGCAGGGAGGCUGGGCCCCUGGUGGUAGGGAAUCUGUGUGCCUCACCGUCAGUGCAGUGUAGUGUCACCUUGGUGUGCCGUGUUCACGUGUGGUCUCUUUGACCCCUCUUCCAGAUCGCCUCCCUGUGGUAAGCCCUCCCUCCUAGUUUAUGUGUUUUCCUAUACCCAAAGAACCAGUAGGCCUACUCUAACCAAACCAGUUCUGAGUGUGUGUGUAGCUGCCCCAUUUCCAUCUGAGUGCUUUUCACGCUUUUACUGUAUUAUAACUUGAC